UUAUGAAGACAGAGAGGCAAAGAUAAAGAGACUGAAACUUUCUAAAGUAUUUCAGCCAAAAUAACCCAAAGAAACGAGCUGGACGCAGACACUACAGAGCAGAGUUAUGGUUUCACCGUUUUUACACCGCUUUGUGCUUUAACCAACGUAGUUAAUGUUUGUUAAUGCUAGAGUACUUGUCGGAAAACUAUCUAAGAGUUCGCUAUUUUUCAGCACUAAGCAAUGGAGUGUGGAUGACUUUGACCAGAGAAGAGAUUCAUGCACCCCUCAAAUGGCUGAGGUCUUCACAGACAGCAUUCACAUGUUUCUCAACCACAUGUUAUAAAUGUUUUUGACUUCCAGAGUGAUAACUUCUGAAACAUAACAGUUUCUAAUGCUGUCCAAAGCUUUCUUAUUUAAUUGAAUUUUUUUAUUGUGAUUGUGUAUUAAUGUUUCAAAUAUAUUUAAUUAAACUAUCAAGCUUAAGUUUCA